GAUGAACGCUGGCGGCGUGCCUAAUACAUGCAAGUCGAGCGAACGGACGAGAAGCUUGCUUCUCUGAUGUUAGCGGCGGACGGGUGAGUAACACGUGGAUAACCUACCUAUAAGACUAGGAUAACUUCGGGAAACCGGAGCUAAUACCGGAUAAUAUUUUGAACCGCAUGGUUCAAAAGUGAAAGACGGUCUUGCUGUCACUUAUAGAUGGAUCCGCGCUGCAUUAGCUAGUUGGUAAGGUAACGGCUUACCAAGGCAACGAUGCAUAGCCGACCUGAGAGGGUGAUAGGCCACACUGGAACUGAGACACGGUCCAGACGCCUACGGGAGGCAGCAGUAGGGAAUCUUCCGCAAUGGGCGAAAGCCUGACGGAGCAACGCCGCGUGAGUGAUGAAGGUCUUCGGAUCGUAAAACUCUGUUAUUAGGGAAGAACAUAUGUGUAAGUAACUGUGCACAUCGUGACGGUACCUAAUCAAAAAGCCACGGCUAACUACGUG
rnacentral:rRNA from 1 species